GACGUAGGGCGCAAGCGUUGUCCGGAUUUAUUGGGCGUAAAGAGCUCGUAGGCGGCUUGUUGCGUCGACUGUGAAAACCCGCGGCUUAACCGCGGGACUGCAGUCGAUACGGGCAGGCUAGAGUUCGGUAGGGGAGACUGGAAUUCCUGGUGUAGCGGUGAAAUGCGCAGAUAUCAGGAGGAACACCGGAGGCGAAGGCGGGUCUCUGGGCCGAUACUGACGCUGAGGAGCGAAAGCGUGGGGAGCGAACAGG
rnacentral:misc_RNA from 1 species